rnacentral:rRNA from 1 species
GGGGAGUACGGUCGCAAGACUGAAACUCAAAGGAAUNGACGGGGGCCCGCACAAGCGGUGGAGUAUGUGGUUUAAUUCGAUGCAACGCGAAGAACCUUACNUGGCCUUGACAUGUNUGGAAUUCUGCAGAGAUGCGGAAGUGCCUUCGGGAACCAGAACACAGGUGCUGCAUGGCNGUCGUCAGCUCGUGUCGUGAGAUGUUGGGUUAAGUCCCGCAACGAGCGCAACCCUUGUCCUUAGUUGCCAGCACGUAAUGGUGGGAACUNUAAGGAGACUGCCGGUGACAAANCCGGAGGAAGGUGGGGAUGACGUCAAGUCAUCAUGGCCCUUACGGCCAGGGCUACACACGUACUACAAUGGUCGGUAUCAGAGGGUUGCAAUACCCGCCGAGGUGGAGCCAAUCCCAGAAAGCCGAUCCCAGUCCGGAUCGUAGUCUGCAACUCGACUACGUGAAGUCGGAAUCGCUAGUAAUGCGCGGAUCAGCUAUGA